rnacentral:rRNA from 1 species
AUUGAACGCUGGCGGAAUGCUUUACACAUGCAAGUCGAACGGUAACAGGCCGCAAGGUGCUGACGAGUGGCGAACGGGUGAGUAAUGCAUCGGAACGUGCCCAGUCGUGGGGGAUAACGCAGCGAAAGCUGUGCUAAUACCGCAUACGAUCUAUGGAUGAAAGCGGGGGACCGUAAGGCCUCGCGCGAUUGGAGCGGCCGAUGUCAGAUUAGGUAGUUGGUGGGGUUAAGGCUCACCAAGCCAACGAUCUGUAGCUGGUCUGAGAGGACGACCAGCCACACUGGGACUGAGACACGGCCCAGACUCCUACGGGAGGCAGCAGUGGGGAAUUUUGGACAAUGGGGGCAACCCUGAUCCAGCAAUGCCGCGUGCAGGAAGAAGGCCUUCGGGUUGUAAACUGCUUUUGUACGGAACGAAACGGUCUGGGUUAAUACCCUGGGCUAAUGACGGUACCGUAAGAAUAAGCACCGGCUAACUACGUGCCAGCCGCCGCCGUAACAC